rnacentral:rRNA from 1 species
GAUGGCGACCGGCGCACGGGUGAGUAACACGUAUCCAACCUGCCGAUGACUCGGGGAUAGCCUUUCGAAAGAAAGAUUAAUACCCGAUGGCAUAGUUCUUCCGCAUGGUAGAACUAUUAAAGAAUUUCGGUCAUCGAUGGGGAUGCGUUCCAUUAGGUUGUUGGCGGGGUAACGGCCCACCAAGCCUUCGAUGGAUAGGGGUUCUGAGAGGAAGGUCCCCCCACAUUGGAACUGAGACACGGUCCAAACUCCUACGGGAGGCAGCAUG